CCCAUCUUGCUGUGGUGCCUUCUUUAGGAAAGGAAUGAUUUUUAGUCUACACUAUCUGUGGAAGGCUCAGUUUAUUCUUUUACCUUUCUGUUCAAGGAGCUAUCUUGAAAAAGUUUAGUCAUCAGUGCCUACUCUCUUUUCUUCACCCCUCCCCAGACUGUCUGGCUCCUCAUUGUAUGAGAACAUUCUUUCUCCAUCAGAAAUGACUGUGGGAAGUGUUGAAGGCAUUCUUUACCAGCUCUCCCCGGUGCACCGUUCGCCUGACAUAGG